AUACGGAGGGCGCAAGCGUUGUUCGGAAUUACUGGGCGUAAAGCGCGUGUAGGCGGUUCGGCAAGUCGGGUGUGAAAGCCCAGGGCUCAACCCUGGAAUUGCAUUCGAAACUGCCGGGCUAGAGUCCCGGAGAGGAAGGCAGAAUUCCCAGUGUAGGGGUGAAAUCCGUAGAUAUUUGGAGGAAUACCAGCGGCGAAGGCGGCCUUCUGGACGGUGACUGACGCUCAGACGCGAAAGCUUGGGGAGCAAACAGGAUUAGAAACCCCUGUAGUCC
rnacentral:rRNA from 1 species